UUUAAUUUUGAAUCUAUUGAAAUUAUUAUAUUAACUGAAUUACAUUGUAUAGACUGCAUAGCAAAAGUUUGGAGCUUUGUCUGCUGAAAGUCAGUUUUGAAACAAUUGAAUGAAAGGAGAGCUACUGACUGAUAUCAUAAGCUACAGUAGGGAACGUAGUGAUUAAACGUUUAGCCGGUGUCGUAGAGACGAAAUCCAUACCUCAGAGGUUGCCAGCUAAACCAGUUCCAAAGAGUAGUCGAAGAUUGAGAGCAUUCCUGCUAUCAAGAAACCUGUUAUCAAGAAGCCUGAUAUCAAAAAACCUGAUAUCAAGACAUGCAGCACUGUCAAAUCGCUCCAGUACCUUGGUCGAGUGAAAUCGUUUCUGCUCAGAUGUCCGCUGGAGUACUUCGUCCGCUGGAGUACUUCGUCCGCUGGAGUACUUCGUAAUGUUGUUCUAAGGAUGAACAAAGCAUAGUGAUGAGAGAGGGCUAUUAAUGUGUGGGAUUUCUGCUGCUUUGUU